AGCAGCCGCGGUAAUUCCAGCUCCAAUAGCGUAUAUUAAAGUUGUUGCAGUUAAAAAGCUCGUAGUUGAAUUUCGAGACCGGUUUAUUGGUCGUGCUUUUGUACGUACUGGUAUUAUUGGUUUCUCCUUUCUGACGAAUCUUAAUGCCAUUAAUUUGGUGUUUUGGGGAAUCAGGACUGUUACUUUGAAAAAUUAGAGUGUUUAAAGCAGGCUCACGCUUGAAUACAUUAGCAUGGAAUAACGGAAUAGGACGUUUGAUUCUAUUUUGUUGGUUUCUAGGAUCGACGUAAUGAUUAAUAGGGAUAGUUGGGGGCAUUAGUAUUCAAUUGUCAGAGGUGAAAUUCUUGGAUUUAUUGAAGACUAACUACUGUGAAAGCAUUUGCCAAGGAUGUUUUCAUUAAUCAGGAACGAAAGUUAGGGGAUCGAAGACGAUCAGAUACCGUCGUAGUCUUAACCAUAAACUAUGCCGACUAGGGAUCGGAUGAUGUUAAUUUUUAAUGACUCA
rnacentral:rRNA from 1 species